UUAAACUCAGAAAUCCACCUGCCUCUGCUUCACGAGUGCUAGGAUUACAGGCAUGUGCCACCACUUACGGCAAGACUAGAUUCUUUUUUUUUUUUUUUUUUUUUAAAGAUUUAUUUAUUUAUUAUAUGUAAGUACACUGUAGCUGUCUUCAGACACUCCAGAAGAGGGAGUCAGAUCUCGUUAUGGAUGGUUGUGAGCCACCAUGUGGUUGCUGGGAUUUGAACUCCGGACCUUUGGAAGAGCAGUCGGGUGCUCUUACCCACUGAGCCAUCUCACCAGCCCCAAGACUAGAUUCUUAAUGAACUGUCCAGAAAUUUUCUGUUAGAGAUAAAAGCCUGAUAUGGGCUCUUUCUUAUGGAAAUGAAAAAUUAGUUUUGUAGCCAGAAAACAAAAGGGUAUGCAUCUUUUCUUUAAUGGAUUUUUCAGGAGCUGGAGGAAGUGAGAGACAAAGAGAACAUUUUCUUGCUGUUUAAAUGAUCAAAUCUGUUUUUCCCUGAGCUGUAGGUAAUUCAAAGUUGGACUAUGGGGAAGGAUGGUGGUGGCCUCCAAGAUACUCAUUUAAUUGUUCAAUUACUGUACAGUUCCAUAUGCAGACCAAACACCUACUGUGGCUAUUUUGGGGUCACCUUUACUUGUCAAUGCAGAUAUCAUCCGGUGCUUGUUGACUCAGAGAAAUACUUUGCUCUAGCCAAGAGUAUGUAGAAAUGAGAACAUGGGUUUUGGCAUCUCAUCUCUUCCAUUUGUUUCAUAUUUACUUUGGGAUAGAUGAUUCAUCCCUUUCACCCCAGUCUGCUUAUUGAAGAAAUAGAGAGAAUAAUAUCAACAACUUCAGAUACUGCAGCUCAUUUAAAACCCAUCUUUCCAAGACACACAAAUCAUAAGGAGAUACUACUAACAAUGAAUGCUGUCUUCCGGAACAAGAUUAUCAAACUUAUUGAGUCACUUCUUUGAUCGUUCUCUCUCUCUCUUUCCCUCUCUCACUUUGUGUGUGUGUGUGUGUGUGUGUGUGUGUGUGUGUGUGUAUAAGAGUCCCUUUUUUUCAGAGCAUAAACAGACCCUUGAUAGGUCUUAGUUUGGUCCUGAAUUUCAGAAUCAUAGACUCUUCAUGUAAAUGGUAUCCUAGAAGAUACAAGAAAAUUCUCUAGAUGAGGAAAGUUUACAAUUAUGAUCUAUAACAUUGUACCCCCUUUUUUGAUGUAUGGAUAAGGAAAGAUACAGUUGAUUUGGAUCUUUUUGUAGGUUGAUUUUAUAAAAUCAGAAAUGAAAAGUGAGACAUAACAAUGAAAAGUGAGGAAAUUUUAAAAAAUCAGAUCCUACUACAAAAGUCUAUAGUCAAUAAAAUUGGAAAAUCUGGAUGAAAUGGACAAUUUUCUAGACAGACUCAAUGUUCCAAUGUUACAUCAGGAUCAGAUAAACCAUCUAAACAGUCUCAUAACCCCUAAAGAAAUAGAAGCAAUCAUUAAAACUCUCCCAACAAAAACAAAAUAAAACAUAAAAACAAAACAAACAAACAAACAAGAAAACCCAGGACCAGAUGGGUUUAGUGGAGAAUUCUAUCAGACCUUCAAAGAUGGCCUAAUGCCAAUACUCUUCAAACUAUUCCAUAAAACAAAAACAGAAGGAACACUACCCAAUCCGUACUAUGAAGCCACAAUUAUGUUUAUACCUAAACCACACAAAGUCCAAACAUAGAAAGAGAACUUCAGACCAAUUUCCCUUAUGAACAUCUAUGCAAAAAUACUCAAUGAAAUUCUUGCAAACCAAAUCCAAGAACACAACAAAAUGAUCAUUAACCAUGAUCAACUAGGCUUUAUUCCAGGAAUGCAGGGAUGGUUCAGUAUACAGAAAUCCAUCAGUUGAAUCCACUACAUAAACAAACCUAAAGG
rnacentral:lncRNA from 1 species